GGUGGCUCAGUGGUAGAGUGCUUGCCUGGCAUGCAUGAGGCUCUGGGUUCAAAUCCUCAGCACCA
rnacentral:tRNA from 1 species